GACAGAGGGUGCAAACGUUGUUCGGAAUUACUGGGCGUAAAGCGCGUGUAGGCUGCUUGGAAAGUCGGAUGUGAAAGCCCUGGGCUCAACCCAGGAAGUGCAUUCGAAACUUCUGAGCUUGAGUUUCGGAGAGGAAAGCGGAAUUCUCGGUGUAGAGGUGAAAUUCGUAGAUAUCGAGAGGAACACCGGUGGCGAAGGCGGCUUUCUGGACGAAAACUGACGCUGAGACGCGAAAGCGCGGGGAGCAAACAGG
rnacentral:rRNA from 1 species